CGUAGCUCAGUUGGUAGAGCAACUGACUCUUAAUCAGUGGGUCGAGAGUUCGAGCCUCUCCGG
rnacentral:tRNA from 9 species